rnacentral:rRNA from 1 species
AGAGUUUGAUCAUGGCUCAGGAUGAACGCUAGCGACAGGCCUAACUCAUGCAAGUCGAGGGGCAGCACAAGGAUAGCAAUACUCUGGUGGCGACCGGCGCACGGGUGAGUAACACGUAUGCAACCUACCUGUAAGAGGGGAAUAACCCGGAGAAAUUCGGACUAAUACCGCAUAAUACUGUUUACCUGCAUGGGUGAACAGUUAAAUAUUUAUAGCUUACAGAUGGGCAUGCGUAUGAUUAGCUAGUUGGUGAGGUAACGGCCCACCAAGGCAACGAUCAUUAGGGGUUCUGAGAGGAAGGUCCCCCACAUUGGAACUGAGACACGGUCCAAACUCCUACGGGAGGCAGCAGUGAGGAAUAUUGGUCAAUGGGCGAGAGCCUGAACCAGCCAAGUCGCGUGAAGGAAGAAGGUUCUAUGGAUUGUAAACUUCUUUUGUAAGGGAAUAAAAAAGGCCACGUGUGGCUUCUUGUAUGUACUUUACGAAUAAGGAUCGGCUAACUCCGUGCCAGCAGCCGCGGUAAUACGGAGGAUCCGAGCGUUAUCCGGAUUUAUUGGGUUUAAAGGGUGCGUAGGCGGACCCGUAAGUCAGUGGCGAAAGUUUGCAGCUCAACUGUAAAAUUGCCAUUGAAACUACGGAUCUUGAGUGUAAAUGAGGUAGGCGGAAUGUGUUGUGUAGCGGUGAAAUGCUUAGAUAUAACACAGAACACCAAUUGCGAAGGCAGCUUACUAGAAUACAACUGACGCUGAGGCACGAAAGCGUGGGGAUCAAACAGGAUUAGAUACCCUGGUAGUCCACGCAGUAAACGAUGAAUACUAGCUGUAUGCG